rnacentral:rRNA from 13 species
AAAAUAAAAAUAAAGUGAACUGAAACAUCUAAGUAACUUUAGAAAAAAAUCAAACGAGAUGCCGUUUGUAGUGGCGAACGACUACGGUAUUUGGGAAUUCUUCAAACUAUUAUUCGAAACAACCAAAGAAGGUUAUAGUCCUGUAGAAAAAAAACAGUUGGGAGAAAAAAGUAAGGCAGGGUUUACUGUCAGAAUUUUGGGCUACCACGCUCAACCCUAAAAAUUUUUGAUGACCGAUAGAAAAAAAGUACCGUAAGGGAAAGGUGAAAAAAGCUCUUUAUAGGGGUGAAAAGAUUUGAAACUUGUUGUUAACAAUCUGUUGAAGUCUUCAGACGACAGCGUACCUUUUGCAUAAUGGGCCAGUGAGUUUAUUUAAAUGGCAAGUUUAAUCCGUUAGGAGUAGACGCAGUUAAAUCGAAUAUUAAUUAUAUGCCGAGUCAUUUGUAUAAGACCCGAAACUAAGUGAUCUAAUCAUGAGCAGGUUGAAUAUAUUGUAGUAAUACGUAUUGGAGGACCGAACCCGUGUAUGUGGAAAAAUACUGGGAUGACUUGUGAUUAGGGGUGAAAGGCCAAUCAAACUUAGAGAUAGCUGGUUUUCCGCGAAAUCUAUUUAAGUAGAGCGUUUUUUUUUUGAACAACGGGGUAGAGCUCUCAAUAAACUAGGGGGUUA